rnacentral:rRNA from 1 species
AACGAACGCUGGCGGCAUGCCUAACACAUGCAAGUCGAACGAGACCUUCGGGUCUAGUGGCUCACGGGUGCGUAACGCGUGGGAACCUGCCCUUAGGUUCGGAAUAACUCCCCGAAAGGGGUGCUAAUACCGGAUAAUGUCUUCGGACCAAAGAUUUAUCGCCUUUGGAUGGGCCCGCGUUGGAUUAGCUAGUUGGUAGGGUAAAAGCCUACCAAGGCGACGAUCCAUAGCUGGUCUGAGAGGAUGAUCAGCCACACUGGGACUGAGACACGGCCCAGACUCCUACGGGAGGAAGCAGUGGGGAAUAUUGGACAAUGGGCGAAAGCCUGAUCCAGCAAUGCCGCGUGAGUGAUGAAGGCCUUAGGGUUGUAAAGCUCUUUUACCCGGGAUGAUAAUGACAGUACCGGGAGAAUAAGCUCCGGCUAACUCCGUG